rnacentral:lncRNA from 1 species
GGAAGAGGGCGCGGAGAGAAGAGUGGUGGGGAGGAUAGCGCCGAUGGUAGGGAAGAAAAUAAAGUGAAAAAUAGAAAUAAAAGAGAAUGACAAGUGGCUCCAACAAUUGACACGUGGGAUCCAUAGAUAACUGUUGCUAACGGUGUCACAAUGGCAUUCAACACAACCCUCUCAACCUAUGCAACCAAAUAAAAAACUGGGACGGACCUAUCUCUCUUAACCAAACACGAAAUGGGUCGAACCCAACCCACAAAACUAGGACGGAGCCAACAUAUUCCACUUGGUUCUCAAACCAAACACAUGCCUAUUGACUAGAGUUCCAUUCGGUAUGUAUGCUAGUAUAUUUGGUGUGCAGAACAUAACGUAGUUUCGAGCUUUUUUUUUUACUGAAGUCAGCAGAGAAAGCUCCUACAAUUUCGAACCUUUUGCCAGCCUACUUUCGAUUGCCAUGGUUCUUAAAAAAACUUCAACACCUUUUUUUUUCUACAACUACAAAUUGCUAGAAAUAUCAAAUGUUUUGCUUUCGACUGGCAUGGUUCUUAAAAAGAACUUCAACACCUUUUUUUUCUACAACUACAAAUUGCUAGAAAUAUCAAAUGUUUUUAUUAUAAUUAUGGUGAUAGUAUAUUUUUGUCUCCUCUAAAUAUUUAAAUUUGGUUUGAUAAAAUUCAAAGUUGUCAAGAAAUUUGAAACGAAUAGCUUUGUCUCCCUCAUUGAAAGAUGCCUUUAUCCCACCUCUCCAAAGCCGUUAUCUGCACGAUCCAGUAUCCUAAACUACAAUAAUUACUCCCCCGCC